AAAUGAAUUGACGGGGACCCGCACAAGCAGCGGAGCGUGUGGUUUAAUUCGAGGCUACGCGAAGAACCUUACCAGGGCUUGACAUAUAGCUGGUAGUGAGUCGAAAGAUAAACGACCCUUCGGGGAGGCUAUACAGGUGCUGCAUGGCUGUCGUCAGCUCGUGCCGUGAGGUGUUAGGUUAAGUCCUGUAACGAGCGCAACCCUCGUCGUUAGUUACAUGUGUCUAACGAGACUGCCGGUGAUAAGCCGGAGGAAGGUGGGGAUGACGUCAAGUCAGCAUGGCCUUUAUGUCCUGGGCUACACACACGCUACAAUGGCCAGUACAAUGGGUUGCCAAGCCGCGAGGCGGAGCCAAUCCCCCAAAGCUGGUCUCAGUUCGGAUUGUAGGCUGCAACUCGCCUGCAUGAAGUCGGAGUUGCUAGUAACCGCGCGUCAGCAACAGUGCGGUGAAUACGUUCCCGGGUCUUGUACACACCGCCCGU
rnacentral:rRNA from 1 species